UACGAAGCGUGCAAGCGUUACUCGGAAUUACUGGGCGUAAAGGGUGAGUAGGCGGAUGAGCAAGUCAAGGAUGAAAGCCCGAGGCUCAACUGCGGAAGUGCCCUUGAAACUGCCCAGCUUGAGGGUAGUUGAGGCGAGUGGAAUUCCCGGUGGAGCGGUGAAAUGCGUAGAUAUCGGGAGGAACACCUGAGGCGAAGGCGGCUCGCUAGGCUAUUCCUGACGCUGAAUAACGAAAGCUAGGGGAUCAAACGGG
rnacentral:rRNA from 1 species